CCUACGGGCGGCAGCAGUGGGGAAUAUUGCGCAAUGGGCGAAAGCCUGACGCAGCGACGCCGCGUGAGGGAUGAAGGUCUUCGGAUCGUAAACCUCUGUCAGCAGGGAAGAACGGUCACUGUGCUAAUCAGCAGUGAAUUGACGGUACCUGCAAAGGAAGCACCGGCUAACUCCGUGCCAGCAGCCGCGGUAAUACGGAGGGUGCGAGCGUUAAUCGGAAUUACUGGGCGUAAAGCGCUCGUAGGCGGUAUGUCAAGUCAAGGGUGAAAUCCCCGCGCUCAACGUGGGAACUGCCUUGGAAACUGGAAAACUGGAAGGUGUGAGAGGAUAGGGGAAUUCCAGGUGUAGGAGUGAAAUCCGUAGAUAUCUGGAGGAACAUCAGUGGCGAAGGCGACUAUCUGGCACAUAACUGACGCUGAGGAGCGAAAGCGUGGGUAGCAAACAGGAUUAGAUACCCUUGUAGUC
rnacentral:rRNA from 1 species